GAUGAAGAACGUAGCGAAAUGCGAUAAGUAAUGCGAAUUGCAGAAUUUCCGUGAGUCAUCGAAUCUUUGAACGCACAUUGCGCCCACUGGUAUUCCGGUGGGCAUGCCUGCUCGAGCGUCAUUAUCCUCCCUCAAACCCCGGGUUUGGUGUUGGACCGAUGUUGUGUGAACAACUGGUCUAAAAAACAAUGACGGCGUCCGUGGGACCCUCGGUGCAACGAGCUUUUAGGAGCACGCGCCGAGUUGCAAGGACCUUCCGGGCCGGUCUCCUUUUACUAUUUUACAAGGUUGACCUCGGAUCAGGUAGGAAUACCCGCUGAACUUAAGCAUAUCAAUAAGCGGAGGA
rnacentral:misc_RNA from 1 species